GGGUGGUUUUGUUGAGAAUUAGCUACACAACAAUUGUAUUAGAUGCCGAAUAAGACACUCUGACUUUUAAUCAGGGUGUCACAGGUUAGAGACCUGUACGGCCUACCA
rnacentral:tRNA from 1 species